UAUAAAGCCUGUCUUACAAUCAGAAUCUCUCUCAAAAAAAAUUGUAAUUCCAAAAUAAAUGGCAUAUUUUCUUCUUCAGAGAUCGGACAAAACAGCUCAGCCUGGAGAAAGUCCUGAAGAUCAACUUAAUGCAAAGACAGUCAUAAAAUGAAACGCUGUGAGACAAGAUUGCUGGAGAGAUGAAAACCUGACAUGCAUCUUCUAUGAUAAACAGAAUGACUUAUUCUUUAAACAAAAGUAACCUACUUUAGUUACUUUUAAAGCUGUUUUUUAAUUUUCUUUUUUUUUUUUUGGCAUCUGAUUGAGUUUUUAUUUCUUUAGUGGAGGAAUUUUAAUUUCAGUAAGUUCGAAUUUAC
rnacentral:lncRNA from 1 species